GCCGGAGUGGUGAAACUGGUAGACGCACUGGACUCAAAAUCCAGCGGAUUCACGUCCAUGUCGGUUCGAUUCCGACCUCCGGCACCA
rnacentral:tRNA from 1 species